CAUGAGCUGAAAUCACGCUUACACGCGCAGUCGUUCGGCCGGAGCUUUUUCGUUGUCUGGACGGCGCACCGAGAGAACUGCGGAGGCAACGUCACUGCCCCGAGAUUGCCGUGGCUGACCACGAUCGUCUUCGCAGCAGCCAGCCUCAACGGUACGGUGCUGGCUUCCGUGGUUCUCUGUGGCAAACUGCACCAGGGUCAGGCCGGGACAUGGAUGAGGUCAGCCCCGUUCCGUUACUGCAGCCGGCUUUUUCGAUGUUUCUCUCUACACCAGGCAAUGCAGGCCCUGCAGCACUUCGUCCGCGGCUGGAAAAGUCGCUUGUUUAUUGCUACUGCAUCGGUGACAGGUACUUACUAUUGGCUGGAGGCGGCCGCGUCAAGGGCUUCGCCGUCAUCCUGAAGCUGCCAGGCCUGUUGCACCACCAGCCGCUCCGUAGAUACGUCGUAAACUUGUUUACUGUUAACGAUCACCACGAGACUGCAGCCGGGCACCACAUCACGCCUUGGCCCACCUGCGUGACAUGGGGAGAUGCCAUCUGCCUAGAGGAGCUGACUCAGCCAACGGCUUUUCUAUAGCACUGUUCGUGCAUGCGUGGGAUGUCAUCGGUUCUCCACAUGGCCGCACAGAGAAGCCACAAAGUCAAGGUCCAAGCACGAGGCCAGCCGGUCGUGGGCCAUGGAAUCCACAGUGGAGAGCGCACAAAAUUUAGUAUCCACAGGGCUUGCGGAUGACGGCGAAGCAGGGGCCUACCGCCAAGGCGUGCCGCUAGCUACGGCUAAUUAUUACACCUGCAGGGCUUCAGGAUGUUGGAUUCCUGAACGACGAGUCCCCACCGUGCCGCGAUCCCACGUGUUUAUAGCUUCGAAAAGGCGGGCGCAGUUCUAGCUCUCCUUGCUGUGGUGGCGGUAUAUAUUUGCGUGCUUUUUGCGUUUGUUUCCUAUAGCAGCUAUCCUUGCGCGAAUUUCCGAUUUUAGCGCAUUUAUGUGUAUCUAUCCUUUUCGGCUGGUAUAUAUUUCUCGAUUUAGGCGUUAUUGUCUUCGUUAUUUUUUAUCGCUUAAACUUCUGCGUUAUAGUUUAUACGUUUUGAAGAGUUCCGGAAGGAUCGCGAAAAGAGUUCCGGUAGGCUUUCCUAAGAGUUCCGGAAGGUUUGCCAACAUCUUAUUCCAUCAAGCGACCUUCCAAACAACCAUCCAGAAAAGCAUAACAUUGCUGUAGAUUUAUCAGUAGUGACUAUUAUUCACGCCUAUUUCACAAUGUAGAGCAUUUAGGCGUGCAUAUUCGUUUCGGCUGGUAUACACCUCUCGAUUAUUGCGUUAAUCGUUAAUAUUUGUCGUUUAAAAUUGCUGCGUCACAAUUUAUUCCUCUGAAAGAGUUCCGCUAGGCAUUCUUAAUAGUUCCGGAAGGUUUGCCAACAUUUUAUUUUGAGCUGGCGACCUUCCAAACAAUCAUCAUCAAAAGCUAGACAUUGCCGUAGAUUUAUCAGUAGCCACUGUCGUUCGCGCUUAUUUGGGAAUGUAGCGUAUUUAAGUGUGCAUAUUGAUUUCGUCAGAUAGGUAUCUAUGGAUUGAUGCGUUAAUAUUUUAGCUAAUAUUUAUCGUUUGAAUUUCUGCCUUAUAAUUUAUUAUUUGGGAGAGUUCCGGAAGAUUAGCGUUAGAGUUCUGGCAGGUUUGCCUAAAAGUUCAGGAACGUUUGCCAGCAUGUUAUUUCACCUAGCGACCCUCCAAACAGCCAUCAACAAAAGCCAGAUGAAGUCUCAAAAGAAGAUUGCUAUAGAUUUAACAUGUUCAAGUGCCGCCAUUGUGAACCGCAGCCAGUUCGUACGAGGCUCGAGGCUGAUGUGUUGCCUGCUCUCUCUUAAAAAGAUCGUUCACGUUUGCUCUCAAUUGUAGGGUAAAUGCCCAUGUAUAUUUCAUGCGAUUUGUGCAGUUCAAUGUAAGCGUCAUUAUUGUUAUUGUUUCUUGUAUUUCUGUGUUAUAUUCAUUGCAAGAAGAUCUCGAAGGUUUGGUUGCAGGGACAACUGAUAGUGAUCUUCCACGCAAAUAUUAACAAAAGUGAGACUAUGUCUAACAAACAACCUUGGUGUCGGUUCAUUAUAUGUCAAUCAAACGAACUGGCCUCGUCUUAGUUGAAUCCAUGCGAAUUUCUUGCAAACUCAGGUUUUGGGACUUGUUUGUGGACAAGAACUGUGACUUUUCUGUGAAGGACUGUUGUUGUGUACCCGAGAACUAUACAAGCACUUGCGCGCAACUCAACUUACAGUCGGUGCAAAACUUCGUGUAAUGAGGAAAUGUGACUGUUUCCUUUUUUUUUCGAGAAGGGCGAGGCCGUCAGGAUACAAGCCUGAAGUGGUUUGUGGUAUCAUCCUGAUAUUUUUAUAUGGAAGCAGAUAUCGCCACUUUGAAUUACAGUGGAAUUGAAAAGAAAGAGCACCAUUCAACGUGAUUUGUUGCAAAUUAUUGAGACUACCAUUUAGUAUAUGUGUUAAUAAAUGAUAUACGAGAGAA